AUUGAACGCUGGCGGCAUGCCUUACACAUGCAAGUCGAACGGCAGCACGGGUGCUUGCACCUGGUGGCGAGUGGCGAACGGGUGAGUAAUACAUCGGAACAUGUCCUGUAGUGGGGGAUAGACUGGCGAAAGCCGGAUUAAUACCGCAUACGAUCUACGGAUGAAAGCGGGGGACCUUCGGGCCUCGCGCUAUAGGGUUGGCCGAUGGCUGGUUAGCUAGUUGGUGGGGUAAAGGCCUACCAAGGCGACGAUCAGUAGCUGGUCUGAGAGGACGACCGGCCACACUGGAGCUGAGACAGAGCCCAGACUCCUACGGGACGCAACAGUGUCGCAUUUUGCACAAUGGUCAAAAGCCUUGUCCACCAAUGCCACGUGUGUGAAGAAGGCCUUCUGGUUGUAAAGCACUUUUGUCCGGAAAAAAAUCCUUUGCUCUAAUACAGUCAGGUAAUAACGGUACCAGAAAAAUAAGCACCGGCUAACUACGUG
rnacentral:rRNA from 1 species